CAGGUGUGCGGUAUGCACAGCUACUUAGUAUUGCAUUUCUAUGGAGAAUGUAAUCCUGUUUCUUUUACAGGAAGUAGUUAUUUUUCUGUUGCGAUACCUGUGCCACUAUCAUCUACGGGACAGCCCAGGUCCCUAAAUCUGUCUACGAGGAUAAUGAGACCAUCGCCAUGCACGAGGCUGCAGAGAUCAGAGAGGAGAAGAGGAAGGAAGCGAAGCUUCUGGGGGUGGACAGAGAGGGAGACAUCUUCAGCCUGUCUCAGCUGGUCAGCAUCUGAUCAUCCCUGGCCCUCCACUGAACCUCUCAACCUCAAGCUCUGCAAGAUGAGGCCUCCAGACAUCCACUGUAGAGACCUGCCUACAGGGGGCAGAAGCAGUGUGUGAGAAAGAUGCUCAAGUCUGGAGCCAGCCCCAGCAUCAAGAAUGAGCAACCAAACCGUUUUUGACCUGGCCUGGAGUGAGGAGAUUAAGCAGAUUCUGGUGGGCAGUCAUGACAAGGUGAGAUGCGAGAGGAACAUUGGAGCAAAAAGCUGCUGAUUCUGUAAAUCUACUGAAACAAAACAAAAAAUUCUUCCCCUAGAGGAUACGACUUGUGUUGUGCCGAACUUUGAAGGCCUAUGGAAAGUAUUUGUGUGUCUUUUGUAUUUAUUCUAAGCAAAUAUUAAUAUAUUUUGAAAUAUACUGUACAAUCUUGAACAGAAUGGAAUUAUUUUAUAAUUACUAUAGAAUUACUAUAUUUGGGAACUGAUGUUUAGUGUUUCUGAAACUUUUGAAAACUGAUAUUGUAAUGUAGUGAUGCUGCGUUUGACCCUUAGAGUGCCAGUUUUCUGGGAUGGCAUUCCUAUUGGGUGGUCGUUCAAACGGAGUUAUAUUCUGGUAUCCAAGACAGUGAGUCUUUAAGCUACUUCCACCCUUACUCCCCUACCCCUCCCUCCCUAUUGGAUACACAGCAACCUGCUCCUCUUUUCCCCUGAAGAGCCUGAUGCAGUGCAGGGAUAUCUUUGUGUGUUUGUUUCCAGAACGGAUACAGUUGUUGCUGUCU
rnacentral:lncRNA from 1 species